rnacentral:lncRNA from 1 species
GAGUCUCAAGGACCCUCUGUAGUCUACAGCCUAAAUUUUGAGAGUUGCUGAUACAGACCAAUAAAUUUCAUGUAAGGAAGAAAAGUACUGCAAGCAGUUGAUUGUUUCAAAGGUGGCACCAUCAUUCCAUCUUCAAGAGGAAAGGUGAGAAUGACAAUAUCAUAGAAUUUUACUAUUUUCCUUUUCUGGCAGGACCUAUUCAGGAAAAUUUCUGACUUGUUCCUGCUGGUUUUAAACUAAAACAUGGUAUGGCAGACACGAUCUUUACAGGCUAAAACAACAUGAAAAGCAGCAGAUACUAAAUCAAUACUCUCAUAAGUACUCUGUACCAGUAACAAAGACAAAGCCUCUUAACAUAUUGGGUUGGUUACCUAAGUUCAUGGAAAACCUCAGAUAUUCCAUAAAGAUACUACCAGGUACCUGAAGCUCCCAUCAUCUUCUAAAUACAGAA